CUUCAUUCUCUUGUAACAAUGCAGGUCGAGAGGUACCUCCUUAGGCGUCUGAGCUUCUGAAGCGAAGUGGUUGUCAGGUUAAUUUUUGGAUUGUAUAUUUAUACAUAUACAUGUACUUAGUUUUCUCUCUGCAUAACUUGUUCUUUUUUAUCCUCUUAGAGGCUUAUGGAGAGACAGGAUUUUGUUUAUGUAAUUUUGGGUUUUGG